UACGUAGGGGGCAAGCGUUGUCCGGAAUCAUUGGGCGUAAAGAGCGUGUAGGCGGCCAGAAAAGUCCGCUGUGAAAACUCGAGGCUCAACUUCGAGCUGUCGGUGGAAACUUUCUGGCUAGAGUCCGGAAGAGGAGAAUGGAAUUCCUGGUGUAGCGGUGAAAUGCGCAGAUAUCAGGAGGAACACCAAUGGCGAAGGCAGCUCGCUGGGACGGUACUGACGCUGAGGCGCGAAAGGCGUGGGGAGCAAACAGG
rnacentral:rRNA from 1 species